GGUAUAUAAGCUGCACUCUCCUCAUCCUUCCUGGGUGGAUCUGACCAGGCUCUCUUUGGUGUGCUGCAGGUCCUGUCCUGCACCACAGGUCUCGUUCAAAUAAAGCCUCACUCCAGUGGUCCCAGAAAGUCCUAAGGUUGUUUAUUUUGAGUAGUGCAGACAGAGCUGCUUUAAGAAGAAGCCAUGACACUUGGAGUUGUUAGCCAUGAAGCGCUCCAGAGACUGACAACUGAGACCAGCAGUGGCACUCUGAUUCCUAAUUGCUAUCUGAUUUGAGCUGAAAGCCCCCUCAACUGACUGGUGGCGGUGCUCUGAGGCCUUGUGGCUGCAGCCUCUCCCACUAACCAUCUGGUAUUUUACAGAAGGUCUUCUCAGUUCCCUCCCCUUCAAGGGCUGUGCUAGUCUCUGAGCCCCUGGAAAGGCCCAGCCUGAGCCAUCAUCACAGCUCUGCAGCCAGAGGUCCCGCAGGCAGCCUGAGCUCCUACUGCUGAGGCCCACUGGCAGCUGAGGCCCACGGGCAGCCAGUGCCCUGCUCCACACUGCCACAGCGGGGGGAGAGGCCCAGCCCCCGUCUGCCUUCAUCCCAGCCGCCCGCUUCUUGGGGUGGGCAGAAGCAGUCAUCAGGACCCUCCGUGGUGGGCAGCAUCAGCCCUCCACACCCGAGGGUGGGCGCUGCCCCUGCACUGUCAGGACGCGUUGGCACCCCAGGGGCCCUGGGACACACAAGCCUGCUGCUUGGGACUGUCCAGGCCAGCAGCCAGAGCCAACGAGCAGUAACUCAGGGGUCCCCUCCCCACGACAUCGCAGGCUCUGCUCAACCCCAGUGCUAUGAGGACAGCUCCUCCCAUCACCUCUGGACAGGACCUGCAGGGGAAGUCACCAUGGGGAGCCUGGGUCUCCACACCUGUGAGAUCCGCCCUCCUGAGCCCAUCACCGCGGGGGCACGUGACCCUUCUGGGAGCCAGCACCAAACCUCAGCCUGCCCCAGCUCCAUGAGACCUGAAGCCCCUCGCCCCCGGCUCAGCCCGCCCCAUGCCCGGGGGCCCCAUGUGCGGCCACUAACCAGGCAUUCUCUGUGCCCCGGCUGCCUGGGCCUGACACCCGCGCACCUCCACCCGGGUGUCCGUCCAUGCAGGCCCGGAACCAGCCCCAGAGCAGCCGUGCCGUGCAACAGGGGCGGGGGUUGAUAACAAGACUCCUGUGCCUAAUGAUCUCUUUACCCCCAGUCAAUUAAUGUUCUUCCAACUGCUUUUGUUACCGGUAGUUUAAUAAUCACUAAUUAUUCAGUACAUUCACAGACUUUGAAUGUCUCACAAUCCUCUAUUUAAUUAAGUAUUAAAUUUUAAAACUCCAACUGCAGCUGCCUUUUGGCGUAGCGGGUGUGACGGAGCACCGGCAGCCACCGGGAAGCGAGGUCCUUCCGUGUCUGUCGCUACCCCCGCCUCCUUCCUGCACUGAGCCUUGAAGGACCCACGCAUGUCCCCAGGGCCCUGGGGGGCUCUGGAUGCAACCAGUGUGGGGACAUGGCACACCCCGCAGUCAGAGGGAUGCCCAACGAAGAAGGGGCCCCACAUUUGUACUGAGCUCUGUAAGGGGUGGGCAGAUGACUAGAGGAUCCCCUCCUGCCCCACUGUCUGGGUCCCUGUCCCCGUCCCCACUUGUAGGGUAGCUGUGGGCAAGGCCUUGACAGAGAAGCCCGGCCCCCACUCUUAUGAGCAAGGAAGCAGAGUUGGGGCCAGCUGGGUGUGGGGGCACAGGGAGACCUCAGGAAACUGCCCAAAGGAGCACUGAGGUCCUCAGAAGCCGGCUGCCGGCGCCAUCUGUCCCGGAAGGGCGAUGGCAAUGUGGAGAGGGACCCAGGGUAGCUUGUGUGCCCGAGUGGACAGCACCUCAUGCUCACUGGGCCACGUGGGGGCCGAGCAGCCCAUCAAGGUCUCUCAGAGGGCCACAGGGCCACCAGGGCAGGCAUAGGUGUCCCCAGAGGUGAGGUGCUACCUGCCCUGGGGGAAGCCCACCAGUCUGGGGGUCCGAGAAGCCUGGGUCCCUAAGGGGAGGUGGCCCGGCGGGAGACACCAAGAGGACAGUGACGCAGGAUUCUGUCUGCUGAAGAGAACCAGGAGGGGACUGCCCCACGUCACCCCCUGGGGACCCCUAGGAAACCCAGCUCUCACCACCAGCCCCCACAGGCAGCCUGGGUGCACAGGAGGGGAGACUGAGGCAAGCUCACCGGAGCCAAGCAAAGCCACCAAGAAAAAGGUGGCUCCCAUGCUGGGGUCCCUGGUGCCUCGUCUGAGGCUGUGCCAGGGUCCGUGGCUGCGGCCACAUGGGGCCACCAAGUGUGACGAGGCAGCUGCUCAGGGCCCCUGCCUGGAGCAGGAGGAAACUUGAGGCAGAUGCCCCAGCAGUGCAGCUCCACUGAAAUCCCCCAGAACAUGGGAAUGUGUCCCCCCACCCCAUGACCCCACCAGUGCCGGCCUCCAAAGGGCAUGGACACACCUGGUUCCAGCCCAGUGAGCACCUGGGAGGGUCCACACCACAGUCCCUGUCACAAGGUGGCCCACGUCCCGUC
ensembl:lincRNA